AAGUAUGAAGUACUCCAAAAUAUACUUAAGUAAAGUAGUGAAGUAUUUUUACUUCGUUACUAUACAACACUGGUUUACAAAAUACAGUUCAGACAUGUACCCAUUUGUUCACCUGGUUACAUUCUCCCCUGCUUAACCGUCAUCGUCCUCGGUGACAAAGUAACUGUUUUUUACUUCUUUUAAAGCUUCUCUGAAAAACACGGAACCUAAGCUUGCAAUAAUCUGUGAAACCAUUGAUGAGUUUAGUUCUGGCUCCAACACUGACCUAGGUUCAUGAUGCGGGUUUGAGUGUUUCCCUGCAUUCACUCUUUUACUCCUGCGUGGAGCAGGUAUGGGAGCUUGUCUAACACAAGGAGGAGAUACUGGUAUCUCACCCGGUUGGUCAAUAUUGCAUGUUUCAUUGUCAACAUGUUCAGUCUCCACCUGUUCGAUGACAGGAGGUUCACGUUCUGAAAUCAACUGAGUCUCUGCUCGCUUCUGAACACUUUCACCAAUAGGACAGUUUUCUACACCUGAACAAGCAGUCAAGUCAAAAGAAACUUCUUCAAUGACUAUACCCCCCUCAUACUCAUCACAUGAGUCAGUGUGUGGUUCAGUAGUGUUCGUCUGUUUGGUUACAGUGUUUUCAACGUGUCUCUGGGUUGUGUCUGGCAGAUUAACACAUGACCUGAUGUCAGCCCUAUUAAUCGUUUUUGUAGGUCCUCCCUCUACAGGUUGUACUGUGCAAGUUGUGCCUACCAUGUCUAUGAGUUGGUAAACAACUGGACUCCAUGCAUCCUGAAUUUUGUUACGACCAGCUGGUCUGUGUCUCAGGUAAACAUACUCUCCAACCUCAAUUGAAGGACAGUACACUUUGGGACUUUGCCGAGCAAUGCGUUUUGUUGCUUUCUGCUCUGCAUACUCUUUUGCUUUUGCAUGUGCCUCUUUGAGUCUUUGCUGGUGCACAGCAAGCCAAUCAAGAUUUUUAUCAUGGUGACUUUCAUUUGCAAGCAAUGCAUCAACAGGAAGAUGUGGAUCAACCCCAUAGAGCAAGAAGUAAGGGGAAUAUCCUGUAGUCGCGUGUGGAGUAACAUUAUACGCGUAAACCAGCUCAGGUAAAUGUUCAGGCCAACGUUCUUUUUGUCAGGUGGAAGUGUCCGCAACAGUUUCAUGCAGAGUGCGGUUAAAACGCUCACACUGUGCAUUCCCUGUCGGAUGAUGGGGUGUCGUACGCGUUUUUUUCACACCAUACAUUCUGCAAAUUUCAGCAAUAACUUCUGAUUCAAAGUUACGGCCCUGAUCUGAGUGGAGACGUUCAGGUACACCGUACUUCAUAAACCACUCCUUUAAGAGGACUUUAGCUGUGGUCUCUGCUUUUUGGUCACGUGUAGGAAACGCCUGAGUGAACUUUGUAAACACAUCGGUAAUGACUAGUACGUUCUCACGGCCGUCUGAAGCUGGUUCAAGGAGCGUGAAAUCUACUGCCACAACUUCUAAAGGUCGUGUUGCCAAAAAGGAUUUCAUUGGAGGGUGAAUCUUUGGGUUGGGCAUUUUUGUGAGAAUACAACAUUCGCAAUUCUUGACCCAUCGCUUAACAUCUUUGUGCAUCCCUACCCAGAAUGCUCUCUGUCUCAACAACUGUAAUGUCCUCUCUAUUCCCUGAUGUCCCAUAGAGUCAUGCACACUCCUCAUGACGGUUGUAAACAACCUGGAACAAGCAACUGAAAGUACUCUCCAGCAUGAUCAUCCCUCACCACUCUGUACACCGAUUGGUGUACAGAGUGAAUAUGAUCUAUGAAGAAUGAAUAUUAAUCUAUGCAAUUGCAUUGCCUUUAUUUUAGUGAGGUAAGUACAGUUAUUUCUGCACAACAGACCCUUGUCAGACAGACAGACAGACCACUCUGAUCAGAGGAGCACAGAGAAUCUAUGCAAAAUAUUUACCUUAUGUUUAGUUUCUACCUUCAUUAAAGAGACUCAGGCUAAUUGUGAUGUUAGAUAAAUGACUUGUAACUUGUUUGUUGUUAAAGGGAGAGUGGAGGCUCAAUUCCACAUCAUGGUUUAAAACCAAACCUGCAUAAUCAGAACCUUGGACCCGGUGUCACAACUCUCGUCUCUGCGGCAUCACAAUUCUGGGCCCCGUAAAGCAUAAUCUCUUGUUUAUGAGGUUGUUCAUGAGGUUAACAUGAAGAUAACCUCUGAACUAUACAUUAGCCCUUAUAUAUUUCUUCUCCCAGGUACAUGUCUGAUCAUUUCUUUUUCUCUUAUUUCUGUUGCAGCCAGAGUCUUUGUAUAUGGACACUCAGUAUUUGCCGUCUCUUCAGUUCCUCUUGUCUGUCCUCCACAAGCAGGGACUCACUGAUAGACCACUCUGCUUCUGGGGCUGACACACUCUUCCACGUCCCCACACCCAGUGUAUUCUGUACAGGAAUGUGAGGACUACAGACACAAAACAAUGAAGGUGAUCGUGAUGCACAACAUCAUGGCUGAGGAGGAUCCAUCAGAUGUGUCGAUUGUGAUUGAGGGAAACCAAGUGAUGGAAGGAUGUGGAAGCCGAACAAAGGCAUGUGUACUGCUGAUGGGACUGAUAUAUGCUUUGCUUUGGAUAGUCAAGGUUGAGGAACCUUGACUAUCCAACGCAGCUCAAGAACACAUUUGAAGCUUUUCAAAAACUUUUUUUGGUACUUGACGGUGCAAAACUACUGAAGAAGGUCCACAGCCCCAAAAACAAGCUCAUGCAAUAGACAUACAUUUCCCCUCUUGUUCCAAGAGGAUCUUUUGUCUGGACAGAGAGUUUUAAUGGAGUAUAGUUUUAUAUUUUUGUUCUCUUCCCUCCUCUGCUCCACACACAGACACAGAAAUAUAUGUACAGAUGGAUACAUAAGUAUGUUGCAGCCUCUCUCAGCCCACUCCAUUGUUCUCUGAUUUCUCCACAUUGACAGAAAUGGAAAAGCAAUAGAAACUGGCCAGUCUGGUCAAUACCACUGAGUGAAUCCUGAAGAAUUUUGAACUCAUCCUCUUUCCCUCCCCAUUUGUUUGUUUCUUUUAUUCUCAUCCUAUCUCUGAGAGUGAGAGCAAGCACAGAAACUAAAGAAUGUUGAUUUUCUGAUCUGUCUUUAUCCAGACAGAAACAAUCUUGUAGAGUUUGUGUGUGGGUUUUGUGGCUUUUAAAAUAGAAUAAGGGGCCUCUGAAACUGUUGUUUGCAUUGACCAGUUAUAAAGAGAACAUUUGAAGCCGUUAGCUUAGUGAGUUAUAAAACGGGUUUAUUCAUUGAAAUGUUGUGUGAAGCUGCACUUUAUUCAUUUUUUGGAUAAUUUAGUGUAUUAUUGCUGCAUAUAAACAAGGCAUUUCAGUUAUUUGUUGUAUAUAAAUACACCUGCAGAUUUGCUCAGUCACUGUUGUGUGAGGCCGAAGAAACACAAGUAAGAGUUUAGAUACAAGAAAAUCUUCAUAUGAUUGGACAUCCCUUGCACCUCUGCUCUGAUCACCUCACUUCUCCUUUUCUCUGAUCUACUCCUUUCUUAUUGAGCAGUCUGGAUGUCCUAAAACAGGGAUAUGUUUUAUUGUCCAACAUUACUGAAACAACAUUUGAAGUUAAGUUAUAACGCAGGUUCAUUAUAUGAAAUGUUGUGUGACACUGUUGUGCUGCAGUUUAUUCUGUGUUUUUGUUUUUGAUGACUUUAUGGAUUAAAAACAUUGAGAAGGUG